GAUGGUGCCUCAGUGGUAGAGUGCUUGCCUUGCAUGCAUGAGGCCUGGGUUCGAUUCCUCUGCACCAUCU
rnacentral:tRNA from 1 species